rnacentral:rRNA from 1 species
GACGAACGCUGGCGGCGUGCCUAAUACAUGCAAGUAGAACGCUGAAGGAAGGAGCUUGCUCUUUCCGGAUGAGUUGCGAACGGGUGAGUAACGCGUAGGUAACCUGCCUGGUAGCGGGGGAUAACUAUUGGAAACGAUAGCUAAUACCGCAUAACAGUAGAUAUCGCAUGAUAGCUGCUUGAAAGGUGCAAUUGCAUCACUACCAGAUGGACCUGCGUUGUAUUAGCUAGUUGGUGAGGUAACGGCUCACCAAGGCAACGAUACAUAGCCGACCUGAGAGGGUGAUCGGCCACACUGGGACUGAGACACGGCCCAGACUCCUACGGGAGGCAGCAGUAGGGAGUCUUCGGCAAUGGACGGAAGUCUGACCGAGCAACGCCGCGUGAGUGAAGAAGGUUUUCGGAUCGUAAAGCUCUGUUGUAAGAGAAGAACGAGUGUGAGAGUGGAAAGUUCACACUGUGACGGUAUCUUACCAGAAAGGG